rfam:Camelus ferus unplaced genomic scaffold scaffold139, whole genome shotgun sequence.
GAGGGUGUCGCUCAGUGGAAGGGCACAUGCUUAGCAUGCACAAGGUCCUGGGUUUGACCCCCAGUACCGCCA